rnacentral:rRNA from 1 species
AACGUUUGUAGUCCUAGGCGUCAAGGAUUAAACGACUGGCGGCGCACAUAAGACAUGUCAAUUCGAACGGACUUAACUACUAUCUUUUAGAUUGAGAGCGGUUAGUGGCGGAACUGGUGAGUAACACGUAAGCAACCUGCCUAUCGAGAGGGGGAAGUAAACAGUAGAGAAAUCAUUGCUAAUACCGCAUAUGCUCACAGUAUCACAUGAUACAGUGAGGAAAGGAGUAAUCCGCUGAUAGAUGGGCUUGCGUCUGAUUAGUUAGUUGGUGGGGUAACGGCCUACCAAGACUACGAUCAGUAGCCGGACUGAGAGGUUGAACGGCCACAUUGGGACUGAGAUACGGCCCAGACUCCUACGGGAGGCAGCAGUCGGGAAUAUUGCGCAAUGGAGGAAACUCUGACGCAGUGACGCCGCGUAUAGGAAGAAGGUUUUCGGAUUGUAAACUAUUGUCAUUAGGGAAGAUAAAGGACUGUACCUAAGGAGGAAGCCCCGGCUAACUAUGUG